CCUACGGGAGGCAGCAGUGGGGAAUAUUGGACAAUGGGCGAAAGCCUGAUCCAGCCAUGCCGCGUGAGUGAUGAAGGCCUUAGGGUUGUAAAGCUCUUUCGCCAGGGACGAUAAUGACGGUACCUGGAUAAGAAGCCCCGGCUAACUUCGUGCCAGCAGCCGCGGUAAUACGAAGGGGGCUAGCGUUGUUCGGAAUUACUGGGCGUAAAGCGUAUGCAGGCGGACUUUUAAGUCGGGGGUGAAAUCCCGAGGCUCAACCUCGGAACUGCCUUCGAUACUGGAAGUCUUGAGUCCGGGAGAGGUGAGUGGAACUCCGAGUGUAGAGGUGAAAUUCGUAGAUAUUCGGAAGAACACCAGUGGCGAAGGCGGCUCACUGGCCCGGUACUGACGCUGAGAUACGAAAGCGUGGGGAGCAAACAGGAUUAGAUACCCUGGUAGUCCACGCCGUAAACGAUGGGUGCUAGCCGUCGGAGAGCUUGCUCUUCGGUGGCGCAGCUACGUACUUAACGUACACCCGCCGUCGGGUAGGUACGUAGUCGCGAGAAUUAAACUAACAAGUAAGUAGUACGACGNGAGACGACGCGACGACGACGACGACGGAGGAGG
rnacentral:rRNA from 1 species